rnacentral:piRNA from 1 species
UGAUUGAUGAUGGUAGCAGACACUAGGC